rnacentral:tRNA from 1 species
GUUGUCGUGGCCGAGUGGUUAAGGCGAUGGACUAGACAUCUUAUGGGAUCUACCCGCGCAGGUUCGAAUCCUGCCGACAUCG